AGGUAUCAAAGUAGGAAGGCAUGUGCUGAUGCUGAACCGAGGCAGGCACGGGCGUGGUCGGAUGCUGAGGAGGUUGACCUGUGAAUGGAGCAGUUCUGGCCACCUGGCAGGUAUCCAUAUGAUACUGCACGGAUUGCGGUGUGGCAAAUCAUUGUCCUGGCGGUGGUAGGUUGUCCAACAAAGCAUUUGCAGAAAUCGGCAUUGGUCCCGCACUGCACGGAGAUCCGUAAGAGGCUCGAAAACGCCCGGCAAAAUCGGCGUAAUCGUCGAGUGAGAGGCAUCUUGUUGCAGUCCUGGUUGGUGUACAUCGCCCGCAACACGAUGCAUGUCGAUCACAAAAUCCGGUGUUAUGCUCUGGGCCGAAGUCAUUGUUCAAAUGCUGUGUCGAUGUAAUUCAUGUGAAAAUAACCGACACAGAGGUCGCGGACUCAGUAAAACGGCGAAAACGGAAGACGUUACAACUCAGGGUCACCAGUUAGGGAGACGUUCAGGUGAUGUCACCCACCAUCAUCUCCUUUGCUUGAAUUCUUGCUUAAAGUCCAUACCAGAUGUCUCUUCUUUUCCUACAAAUUGACAAUAUCAUUAGUGUCAAAUAAAAUCCAGGACAUAAAAGAUACAAUGUGCAUAACAAAACAGUAAAUGUCCAGUGAAUACAUAAGAUAAUACAUGUAUUAGUAAUUGGAAAUGUAUUCAACAUCAAUAUCAGAUAUGUAUAUUACUAAAUAUGUACAAACAUAAGUAUAUUAUGAGCAUAAUGAGCUCAAUGUCAUAAUCAAGCAAAUUUAUUUUUGUUUAAAUUCUUUUUCAUUGGUAUCAGUGUAGUCUAGUUAGCUUACAUUAUUACUCAUUGUAUGAGUUACGAAUACAUUUAUGCUAACUGUGAAUGGUACAUGUGUCAAAAAUUGGCAGUGUGAGUUAAGAUGUUACAUUACUCAAGAGAGGUAAACAUAUUCUCUACAAGACACCAUAAGCUUGUGCAAAAUUGUAUGACAAUUGAAAUCAUUAUAUAAGAUUGCACCUUUGUAAUACAUAGGUGCCCUCAUCACAGUGCUGGAAUGGAUUCUUGAGUGCUACAUAAUCCUACAAAUGGAAACUAGGUACUAAUAUGUACAGAAAACUAAAGCAAGCUGUAAUAUAAUUC